rnacentral:lncRNA from 1 species
AGCUGGGUCUUUAAUUUUUGUAUCUCUUGUUGUACAGUGUCUGAUUUUGUAGAUAAAUUGAAAUUUAUCUGCACAUAAAUUUGACUGUUGCUAACCUUUGCUCCAAUCCAUUUUUCUUGAGGUUGUUUUUAUGGCGUACCAGAGGAGGCAGCCGUAAGAUAGUUCCUAGUCGUCAUCUUCCCCCUCGCUUGCCACCAACGCCAUCAGAGUUGCUUCAUCAAUUUAUGGGUAUUUGUUGCUUUCUUUAGCGUAUAGACUGUCCGCAUUCUCUUUUCCUUAGGAGUGAAUUCCAGUUUGAUCCUCUCCUCCUUCCUCUAAUAAGGUUUAUUUUUUUCUUUUUUCCCUAUUUAUUGUUGGUUUGCACUUUAGAAAACCUUAAUAUUUUAUACAACGUUUUCUUUUGGUUGGGAUAUUUGUUCUUGGAUUUUCUUUUAUUAUUUUACCUUUUGUAGUCCGUUUAGAAUUAUUUUUUAUGGGAUUUUCUUUUUAAAUUUUGGGUUGAAAUUUUGUGACAAUUCAAGUGGGUUUUGUGGGAGAAAAAAAUGUUUCCUCUAUUGUUUUUACCUUUUGUUAUAUGAUUAAAGUCUCUUUUUCAGAGUGUUUUUUUUUUUCCUUUUUUUUUUCCUCCUUUUUUUUUUUUUUUUUUUUUUUUCCCCGCUUUAGCGUAGCUCACUUUUAGACAUGUUUGUUGGAAAUCUGAAUAUUUGCCUACUUUGUACAAUCCUUUUGUUUUUAACUUUUUGCACGAAACUAUUAAAGCAUGGAUUAACGGAUUUCUCAAUACUAUGCUAUGAAAAGUUGGAUGCAACUUUAUUAAUUAAUAUAAAAUAUAAUAAUUUUUAUUUGUAUGCUUAAAUUGUUAGUGAAUGUUUGUGGUUACUAUUUGAGUUCUUGCAGUCUUACUCGAUUUUUUGGUCUAUUAUAAUUAUCCUGUUAAUUGUAGUUAACUAAGAAUCUGGGAAUCCCCUUUUUUCUUUCUUGAUUUCAGUUGUCCAUUUGAAAAAAUGGAAGCAAUUAGGGAAUAUCAUAUAAUUUACAAAACAAAUUUUAUUUUGUUUCACGUGAGCUAUUGCAUUAUUGAUUUCAUGUUUCUUUUUGUUUGAAAUGUAGUUUUCCAAUCAAAAAGUGGAUUAAGAGAUGGUGCAACAAGAAGGGUGGUUUAACCUGUGAAAUAUGCGAUCAGCUUGGGAUUUUACUCUCGUUUUCUAGGCAAAAUUUAUGGCCUUGUAACUGAGGAAAAUGAAACUCAUAUCUUCUUAAACAAGUUUUCUCGCCCUAUUAUGCGGUUCCAACUCCAAGAAGUAAUGCUGAUGUUUUGACUAUUGAUAUCAGGUAUAUUCUGGAGCACAUCUUAUGAAAUUUUUUUGCUCUUGAAUGUUUAGUAUUCAGCAUUGCAUGUUCAAGAGGGUGAGAGACACGAAUCAGAAUGCUUUAAGGAGAUUAUGGUUUCUAAUGAGAUCUGUAGAUUAGCUAGGUUGAUGGUAUUCCACUUGUCAUUUUGCCUGAUUUUGGGUUGUUCUGGCUAGGAAUGCUAAAGGAACUAUGGACGGAUGAUAAUGCAGCUCAAGCACUUGAAACACUGGAGUUCGGGCAAUAGGCUGGUUGAUUUGGAUAAAAAGAUGGCUUUCGAAAUUUUAUUUUCUUCUUUUUCAUUUGUUAUAUUGAUUUUAUUUAAAUUAAAUGUUAAGGAUUAAGUAUACACACAUUUUUACCCUUCUUAAUCAUGUCAUCUUCGAACGAUAGGGACUCUUGUCGUCAAUUACACUACCUUUAUCUGCAACACUGUCAAAUAUCCAUUCAAAAUGCUUAUACGUGUAUUAUGUCAUAGGCGAAAGGUACGAUGCUGUAAUAUAUUGAAAUGCUUGCAUGGGUACUAUGUUAAAUACAUAGUGCUUGCUUAAUCUAUAGUACUAGAAGUACAUUUGAUAAAUUUUAACUUUGUUUUCGAUCUUCAUAAAGUUCAGCCAUCUAUCCACCUUAUUAAACAUGCUUUAAUUAUAUUGAAAAUGUGUUGUUCUUGGAUUUUAUGUCAGUCCAUCAAGUUUUAUUGUAGUCAUGUGACUAUUUCUUAUUUAUUUUAUGUUGUAGAGAAAUCUUUUCUUGUGAAUUUUCCAAAUUUCAAUUGUUGUGUUGUCAACUGUACAUUCUUUGUCAAAGGGUAAGAAAUCCCUACAGAUUUAUGUGUCUCUGGAUUUAGUGUCAUUCUCUGAGGUUUUUUUCGGUUUUGUGAUAUUCUUUGGUUUGUCCUUUUCACAUAAAGCAUUGAAAAUUGUAAGAGGCUUAUGUAUUUUUAGGGGUAAGUGUAUAUGAAAUGGAGAUUUUAGAAUAUCAACUAUAAAUAUGUGAUUAGAAACAUACUGAAUAUCAGCUCAAUAAAUCCUUGUUUUCUUGCAUGUAGAGUGACUGAUGGAAGUCUUUCCAUUUUCAGUGUUGAUGUAUACACAACCCUUGCUGGAGCCAUUGAGAUGCUAUAAGGUUCUUUUCAUCUUGGAGCAAAUGAAGUAAUCAGCAUUUUAGUGCUUAUGAUGUUGUUCUUGCGAAUUUUUUUUAUGGAGUUUCAUUUUAGCAUGUAAGAACGCCACUACAAUAGCACAACAGGGUCUCUAGUAAUUUUUAUUUUUUUUUUAGAUUUUUAUGUACUUCAGAAUUUUGGAUCUAGAUUUUGUAUAGAUAUUUUUACACUUUGGAGUCAAUUCAUAAUGAUUAUU